AGUGAACGCUGGCGGUAGGCCUAACACAUGCAAGUCGAACGGCAGCACAGUAAGAGCUUGCUCUUACGGGUGGCGAGUGGCGGACGGGUGAGGAAUACAUCGGAAUCUACUUUUUCGUGGGGGAUAACGUAGGGAAACUUACGCUAAUACCGUAUACGACCUACGGGUGAAAGCAGGGGAUCUUCGGACCUUGCGCGAUUGAAUGAGCCGAUGUCGGAUUAGCUAGUUGGCGGGGUAAAGGCCCACCAAGGCGACGAUCCGUAGCUGGUCUGAGAGGAUGAUCAGCCACACUGGAACUGAGACACGGUCCAGACUCCUACGGGAGGCAGCAGUGGGGAAUAUUGGACAAUGGGCGCAAGCCUGAACCAGCCAUACCGCGUGGGUGAAGAAGGCCUUCGGGUUGUAAAGCCCUUUUGUUGGGAAAGAAAAGCAGCAGGUUAAUACCCCGCUGUUCUGACGGUACCCAAAGAAUAAGCACCGGCUAACUUCGUG
rnacentral:rRNA from 1 species